UUAAUCACCAACACUCUGUCACUUGAUGCUCCUGACAUGUCAGGGGUUCUGCUGAAGUUUUAAGUGGGGAAAAAAAUCAAAAAUCUUAUUUCCUCGAAAUGAAGAAGGACAGGAGUGUGACACACUAACUCAGAUGUAACGGAUUGACUGCGUUAGUGACUUGUCUCACUGCCGCAACAAACACCUGACAGGAAGCAAUUUGAGGAGGCUUUGUUUUGGCUCUGAGUCUAAGGACUGGUCUCUCACGCUGACAAAGGUGUGGCGAGAGGAACCUAACGCAGCUGGCCACGUUGCUUCCACAUCUAUCCCAAGGAGCAGACAGACAGGCAGGCACACUGAUGCUCAACUUGCUUUCUCUUCCACCUCAACCCAAUCUAGAAACUUCCUCACAUAUAGCGGUGUCUUUGUUAUUUGAUAUUGCUGUGAUAAAACACCGUGGCCAAGGAGGCUUGCAUAAGAAAGAGUCUAAUUUAGCUUGGAGUUUUAGAGGGUCAGAGUGAUAGAAGAGCACACACAGCAUACACAGACACACACAGCAUAUACAUACAGCAUACAUACUCACAUACACACAGCAUACACACUUACACACAGCACACACACUAACACACAGCAUAUACACAUACAGCAUACACACGCUCACAGCAUACACACACACACACACACACACACACACACACAGGGGGUGGGGUGGGGGGAUCAGAAGAGUCUUUUGAAAGUUCAAAGCCUGCUCCCAGUGACACACUUCCUCUAGCCUAAUCCUUCCCAGACAGUUCCACUAACUGGGGAUCAAGUACUCAAACAUAGGAGCCCAUGAGAGCCAUUAUGAUUCAAACCUCCACAUUAAGCUCAGAGUUUUGACUCCUGGGUGAUUCUAGAUUCUGUCAAGCUGUGUAGGAUGAUGUCAUAGAGCUGAAGGCAGGUACGAGAUACAAAAAGGCCUGUCAUUGGAGGAGAAGGAAGAGAAGCCUUAGAGAGAACAUGGAGGCUGAUGUUAAGAUUCCACUCUGUGUAUUUACAGGUUGUUAUGAAUGUUCUUAAGGGAUGGAUGUGUACAGGACUUUGUAUGUCUAGUCUAAAAGACCUACAGGUGAUACAGAAAGAAAUCUGCUCACAGCUGGCAGCAGCCUAUGCCCCAGGGACCUCCGAGACAUCUCAUCCGUUCCAGGUCGGAGACUGUAGGUACAUACAAUGACACGGAGCCCAGACACUCGAGCCUCGUUGGAAAGGACCGUACCUGAUGCUGCUGACCACCCUGACAGCCGUCAAUUCUCAGCCCUCACCAGCCGCAUGCUAGCCGUUGGGGCUGAGAGCUGGGACCUAGAGGGACACUCAGAUCUUCAAAAAGCUCCCUAGACUUGCACAUCAGAUAAGUGGAUACAUCAGAGACGUGACUGGGAUGUUGCUAUAAUGCUCACUUGAGGAGUGUGCUUUAGAAACAAGAAUUUCAUGUUUGCCCUGGGUUCCAUCGAGAAAAAUAUAGAGAUAGGCUUGAUUUCUAUUACAAAUGAUGUAACAUUACAUAUGUUAAUACUCCUAACACUUCUUGGGACUGUGCCUCAGGGACCAUAAGUUUAAAAGUUCUAAGAUAGUCAUGACCUUGGUGUAUAGGUUUAGAUAGUGUUCAGAUUGGAAUCCUAAAGACUUUUUAGCUGACCUCCAAGAAUACCUAACCUCCCUCUCAGAGGUAGUCCUUCAAAAUAGGAGAAGAUUAGACCUGAUAUUCCUUAAAGAAAGAGGGCUAUGUGCUGCUUUGAGAGAAGAAUGUUGUUUUUACCUCGAUCACUCCGGGACCAUUAAAGAUUCUAUGGCUAAACUUAGGGAGAGGUUGGACAAGAGACGACGAGAACGAGAAACCUCUAAUAACUGGUUUCAAAGCUGGUUCAAUAGGUCCCCAUAGCUUACCACCCUGCUGUCAGCCUUAGCUGGUCCCUUGAUUAUCCUCCUCCUUUUGCUCACUUUUGGGCCCUACAUCAUUAAUCGCCUUUUAGCUUUUGUCAGGGAGCGGAUUAGUGCUAUACAUGUCCUUAUGUUGAGACAACAGUAUCGGGCUGUAUCGGGCUAUACGGGGUGAAGAGCCUCUAGACGUUAGACUCGUAGUCCUAAGAUUAGGACCAUUCACAAGGAGUAGAGGGGAAUGAAGGGUUAAAAUUUCUAAAAGUUAGUCAUGAACAAAGUCCAGACAUGCCUGAGAGAAUUUGAGAUAGGGCUCACUGGCCCGACUAUCAGCUCCCAAGGACACUGGCCAUCUGGAGCCACCCCCCCCUUCCUUCACUCCCUGAGGAUGGGUCAUCCCCCUGCUGCAGUGAGAUGAGUUGCCCUGCCCACAUUGCUGAGAUGCUAGAUUACACGUAUGCUUUGUUGAUGUAACUCCGUGCCUCAUUUUUUUUUUCUUUUUUUCCGGGGCUGGGGACCGAACCCAGGGCCUUGCGCUCGCUAGACAAGCGCUCUACCACUGAGCUAAAUCCCCAACCCCCCCCAAAAAAAAAUGAGACAGAAAGAACUCCGUGCCAAAAGUAACUGUGCACCCUCUGUAUUAGCCAAUUAUGUGUAUUCACACGAAACCCCUGGUUUUCCCUAUAUAAGCUCCUGCCUAGAGAGGCUCGGGGCUGGACUCAAUCUCCUGUGUGAGAUACGUGUCAGCCCGAGAUCUCGUAAAUAAAACUGCCUCUUGUUGAUUACAUCAA